rnacentral:siRNA from 1 species
UCUUCGUCAGCCCUAUCAAAG